rnacentral:rRNA from 1 species
AGGAUGAACGCUGGCAGCGUGCUUAACACAUGCAAGUCGAACGGUGAAGUGAGGAGCUUGCUCCUUGCGGAUCAGUGGCGAACGGGUGAGUAACACGUGAGUAACCUGCCCUUGACUCUGGGAUAAGCGUUGGAAACGACGUCUAAUACCGGAUACGACCUCCGAAGGCAUCUUCUGGAGGUGGAAAGAAUUUCGGUCAAGGAUGGACUCGCGGCCUAUCAGCUAGUUGGUGAGGUAAUGGCCCACCAAGGCGACG